rnacentral:rRNA from 1 species
AAUUUUGCGCAAUGGGCGAAAGCCUUACGCAUCCAUGCCGCGUGAAUGAUGAAGGUUUUAGGACUGUAUAAUUCUUUCACCGGGGAGGAUAAUGACGGUUCCCAAGAAGAAAGCCACGGCUAACUACGUGCCAGCAGCCGCGGUAAUACGUAGGUGGCAAGCGUUGUCCGGAAUUAUUGGGCGUAAAGGGCGAGUAGGCGGCCAGUUAUGUCAGAUGUGAAAGGCUAGGGCUCAACCCUAACAUGGCAUUUGAAACUGAUUGGCUUGAGAAUAGGAGAGGGAAGUGGAAUUCCUAAUGUAGCGGUGAAAUGCGUAGAUAUUAGGAGGAACACCAGUGGCGAAGGCGACUUCCUGGCCUACAACUGACGCUGAUGCGCGAAAGCGUGGGGAGCAAACA